rnacentral:rRNA from 1 species
GUACACUCCUACGGGAGGCAGCAGUAGGGAAUCUUCCACAAUGGGUGCAAACCUGAUGGAGCAAUGCCGCGUGAGUGAAGAAGGUCUUCGGAUCGUAAAGCUCUGUUGUUAGAGAAGAACACGUGCUAGGUAACUACUAGCGCCUUGACGGUAUCUAACCAGAAAGUCACGGCUAACUACGUGCCAGCAGCCGCGGUAAUACGUAGGUGACAAGCGUUGUCCGGAUUUAUUGGGCGUAAAGGGAGCGCAGGCGGUCUGUUUAGUCUGAUGUGAAAGCCCACGGCUUAACCGUGGAACGGCAUUGGAAACUGACAGACUUGAAUGUAGAAGAGGAAAAUGGAAUUCCAAGUGUAGCGGUGGAAUGCGUAGAUAUUUGGAGGAACACCAGUGGCGAAGGCGAUUUUCUGGUCUAACAUUGACGCUGAGGCUCGAAAGCGUGGGGAGCGAACAGGAUUAGAAACCCUGGUAGUCCCAUGAU